AAUGUGGAAAAAAAAAUUAAUAAUACACAGGGGACGAUAAAGUUGAAAAUAUGAACAUUGGAUAAAAGAAGCAUUAAAUGGCACUCGAUUACUUGAAACAUACAUUGGACGGAGGAUAAGUGGGCACGAUUGAAAAAUUCAAUAGUGGUGGCUGACAGGUACAAAUGUAUGUAGAUGCAGUCAACAGCUGUAGGCACACAUGCAUGUGCUGGCUACUACUAUACAGAUAGAGAUAAUAACAUCAAUCCUGUUCCCUUUAAUUAACUACAUAUAGAGAUCAUAGAGAUCCCACCCUUGCUAAUAAACUAAGGAAGAAGAUGAAGAUGAAGAUGAAGAUGAAGAUGGGUGCAGUGGUGAUGCUUUUGUUUAUCAUUUGUUCCCAAAUGGAGAGCGUUCAGUCUGAUGCUUUCGAUUGCCUUGAUGCUUGUCAAACUGGCUGUGUUACUCCAGGCGACUUAAGGCUUCAGCAAAGGUGUGAGCGCAAAUGUCAGAUUAAAU